rnacentral:rRNA from 1 species
CCUACGGGUGGCAGCAGUAGGGAAUUUUCGUCAAUGGGCGCAAGUCUGAACGAGCUAUGCCGCGUGUGUGAAGAAGGCCUUCGGGUCGUAAAGCUCUGUUGCGGGGGACAAAAGGCAGCAUCAGGAAAUGUAUGCUUACUGAUGGUGCCCCGCCAGAAAGUCACGGCUAACUACGUGCCAGCAGCCGCGGUAAUACGUAGGGGGCGAGCGUUAUCCGGAAUUAUUGGGCGUAAAGGGUGCGCAGGCGGUUCUGCAAGUCUGGUGUGAAACGCAUGAGCUCAACUCAUGCACGGCUUUGGAGACUGGAUGACUGGAGAGCAGGAGAGGGCGGUGGAACUCCACGUGUAGCGGUAAAAUGCGUAGAUAUAUGGAAGAACACCAGUGGCGAAGGCGGCCGCCUGGCAUGUGGCUGACGCUGAGGCACGAAAGCGUGGGGAGCAAAUAGGAUUAGAUACCCCAGUAGUC